GAUUUCAGCUGAAAAAGUCAUCAAUAAUAAAGUUGUAUAACACAUCAAGACCUAUAACUUAUAUUUUGGUCAUUUCUUCAUCCGAUAAAGUAAUAGUAACAUUUUUACAAAAUUUACAUAUCUAUCUUAUAGAUUAUAAAACUAUAUAAGACAUAUGUAUAUUUUGUGAACAAUCUUACAAAUCACUUUGUCGGAUGAAGAAAUGACCAAAAUAAAAGUUAUAGAUCUCGAUGAGUUAUACAAGUUUGUUAUUGGUGAAUUUUCCAUUUAAAAUC
rnacentral:pre_miRNA from 1 species